AAUAUCGAAGCACUACGACCUUCAUUGCUUUCAAUGGGAAACUUUUGGCGUCAGAAUUCGACACGAGGACAUGAGAUGUUUAUCGCUAUGAAAUCACGUUCAAGAAGUCUCAUUCAGCACACAUCGCGAUACUUGCUAUCAGUUCCACAGUUUGGCUGAAAAGACGUAAAGGCAGUCAGCCCAGUGGUGUUUCUGGAGAGGGAUUCCUUCAGAAAUGGAGAAGACAGAAAGCUGCGGAGGCAGAUAUUUGCAGCAGUAAGUCUGUGAUAGUUUGUCCCUUUUAUCAAACAUUCCUGCUGUUAUAAUUUGUACAGCAUUUGUUGUUUCUUAAACUGUUGCACUGUCCAAAUACCCACACUUGCCAUCUUUGCACUUGACCACUUGAUUACUUAUUUGAAGUCUUUCCUGUAUUUGGCCUAGUGUUCAAGUGAGCAUGAUGACCACAAGUGUGUGUCGAACUUUUCAUGACCUGAUGACUGUGUUUCCCAAUCCUGAUCCUGGAGAACCCCAGCACUGCACGGUUUUGGUGUCUCUCUUAUCUGCCUUGGAGUCUUCACUGAUGAGCUGAUGAGUUGAAUCAGGUCUAAAAUAUCAAGCUCAACAGCUCACUCAAGAGCCAACCCUCACAAACCUUCCUAAAAACUAAAAGAGCUAUUACUGAGUCUCAGCGAAUCUUGCCAUGAUCAGCUCUUCCCAGAAGAGAAGGAAGACCAAGGAAAUGAUUUGCUCUGGAUGAGAAAUGAAGAUGGCCAUCUUAUGCUCAAACAAACAGAAGUCCUCUGAUGAUCUCAUCAGCCAAAUGAGGGGUUUUGACCAAGUGAUGCUCUUGAAAGGAGUGAAAGAAGAGGAUGUGGUAAAUUCUCUUCAGAGAAAAAGCUUCUCAAAAGGUCUCAAAACAGCUUGAAGAAUGGUCUGGGAUCUUAGGACUGAGAGAUCCUCUGGCUGAGAAAAAGCUACACCACAUCAGUGCUGGAUAUCAACCACAAACUGUUUCCAGACACGAGAGAAGAAGAACACGAUGGGGAGAUGAAACCAGUUUAGAUGUGAUGAUGGGAAUCAUUAUUUUCUGGAACAGUAUCACAUGUCUUAUAUGUAUCACAUGAUCUGUAUCACAGUUGACUGAAUGGGACUGUGUGACUUUUAAGGACAUUUCAUCACUCAUCUGUGUGAACUGAUUUAUAUAUAAGGUUAAUGUAUUUUUGAUGAUAAUUAUUUUCAUUGAAUCUUAUUUGUCUUGAUGCUACUUUAUCAACUUUAUA